GACGUAGGGCGCGAGCGUUUGUCCGGAUUUAUUGGGCGUAAAGAGCUCGUAGGCGGCUUGUCGCGUCGGCUGUGAAAACCCGCGGCUCAACUACGGGCUGGCGGUCGAUACGGGGCAGGCUGGAGUUCGGUAGGGGGAGACUGGAAUUCCUGGUGUAGCGGUGAAAUGCGCAGAUAUCAGGAGGAACACCCGGUGGCGAAGGCGGGUCUCUGGGCCGAUACUGACGCUGGAGGAGCG
rnacentral:rRNA from 1 species